GGGUCUUUGAUGACAAUCUUCCUUUCAUGAAGAGCGAUGGUGACAUAAAAAUCAUGCUCAAUAGGAUUACGCCGAGGCCC
ensembl:snoRNA SNORD115 Small nucleolar RNA SNORD115